GGUCAAGUAGCUCAGUUGGUUAGAGCACUGUCCCCAGAAAGUGGCUGGGACCUGGGUUCAAUUCCCAGCUUGGUCA
rnacentral:tRNA from 1 species